GGAUUCCAGCUCCCCCGCGUCUGCGAAAGGCUGAGCUGCGCCGGCCGGGGGAGGGUCGGAGGCUGCCGGGGGUUGGGGGAUGAAGAGCCGGGGGCAGUUUAGGGCAGCGCAUCCUCCGCGGAGGCAGGAACGGCAGGCGGUGCGAUUCCCACCAGGACCUCUGCCAUCGGAACCGCGGGUUUCUGCCGGGCCGGAGGCGCCUGAGAGAUCUCCGCGGAACGGCGCGUGAACCUGCGGCCGCGGCGGCGGGUCCGGAUGGAGAUGGACGCUGGAUGGGCUGUUUCCUGAGUUUGGUUCCCGUGGCGGGGUCGGCCCCUCGCCCCUGCAUUUGGCAGACCUGAUGCGGAGCCCGAGGGUGGCUGUUGGCCUGGGGCGGGGAAGGGGCUCUCUAGAUCGGGGGUCCCACCUGCUGGGCUUGGGGAGCCCAUUUGGCCUUCUCUGAUUGGUCUGGAGUUGCAGACACCUGCUCCCGCUUCGCCUUCCACCACGGUUGGAAGCUUCCUGGGGCCUCUCCAGAAGCAGAAACACCUGUGCUUUCCAUAUAGCCUACAAAGCGUGAGCCAAUCAAACUCUUUUCUCUAUAAAUUA
ensembl:lncRNA novel transcript